ACAACAGGACCACCACCACCACCAACAACAACACCACCAGCUACAAAACCAGCUGCUAUUCUGCUGCUGGCGAUGUCCUUCAAAAUGAAUGAAGAUUUCACCAACGAACUAAAUGAUAAAAAUAGUGUCAAAUACAAAAAGUACAAAGACGAUAUUGAACCAGUUAUCCAGGAACAGUAUAGGAACAACAUGCCAGGGUUUAUUUCAGCAGCAUUGACAAGUUUCAGCCGUGGAAGUGUUAUAGCCAACUUUGAUGUUAGGACCACAGCUGCAGACCCCACUGCAAUUAACAAAGCUAAUGCUGGACUUGCAACAUCACUUCCAGCUGUUUAUCAAGUUGAUACUAGCUCUUUCAAUAUUAUUUAUAACAGUAGCACAGUAUUAAGUUAUAAACCAACUACCAUUUACACUAAUGGCAUCAUGACUCUGGAGUGUGGACCACCUCCUGAUACUGUAAAGAUGGGUACUGUUAAAAGUGUUGAGUGGAAACGAAAGGGAAGAGUUUUAACAUCGACUGGAAGGUUCAACAUCAAUACAGAUGAUUUUGCAUCAAAAAAGACAACACUUGGUAUCAAAAAUGUAAUUUCUGAUGAUAAAGGGGAAUAUGAAUGCACUCUGAAGAGUGACGAAAUCUAUUUCUACCAAAUGGGUCAAAUUGACAUCAAAGAUGCUCCCAUUAUUCAAACGAAGACAGAAAUCAAUACCCCUUGUUUGGUGGGGAAUAGUCAGCUAUUGGAGUGUUGUGUGCAGGCUCCCUAUAAACUAAUGUGGAAAGAAGGCGAUGUAGAAUUGCUCACAAAUGAGACUCCUGACAAUUGCAUUAAAUAUAACUAUCAAAUUCAAAACUGUGAUGUAUCAUCCAACGUUGUCACAUUAACAUGCCAAGUGAAAGACCCAACAGGAUAUGAAAAGACUACAAAAUUGACUCUUUUCGUAGGAGCUAUAACUUGCAAUGAUACGGAAUAUGGUAGUGGCCAAGAGAAAGACACAUCAGUGGCACCAUGUAAGAAAGGUGAGGAUGGAAGAAAGACAGCGAUUUGUAAAAGUGGACGUUGGACACUUCAGACUGACACCUGUGUCUUGACUGCAAUCAAUGAGCUACUGACCUCAUCUCAGGACUUGAAAGAGGCAACAGUUGAAGAAUUUUUAACAAAACUUAAUAAUACCGCUGUUGAUCUAAAAGAGAAAAUCGUUAGUUCAAGUGCAACUAUUUCGACCAUUGUUGAUAUUCUGAGAAUUGUUGCAAGCGUUUCAAAGAAUAUCAGCCAGUCUGAGAUAAAGAACAUUCUAGAAACAGUGAAUGUCCUAGUUUCUGAAGAAGCAAAAGAAUCCUGGACCUUUCUCAAUGCUGACCAAAAUAAGAACACCAGCUCUAGUUUACUGGGCUCCAUGGAAUUUUUUGCAGGUUCUCUCCCAACGACGGCCUUUAAUGUGACAACAAAGCUAAUUCAGUUAAACCAAGACACAUUUGACAACUCAUUCAGCACAAACUUAAAUUCAAGUGUGUUAAUAGAGAUCCCAGAGACUAAUUCCAAUCACCUCACCAUCACCACUCUAACGUUCUUCUCACUCAGAAAUGUGUUACCUGCCAGGAACGGCAGCAACCAAAGUGUCAAUGACAACACCAUCAAUGGACUUGUAGUGAUGGUGAAGUUGAAUGGAACGACUAAAAAUGUCUCAUUGAGCUUCGACAAGGUGAACAAGUCGCUCACACUCAAUCCUCAGUGUGUUUUCUGGAACUUCAGCCUUUUUAACAGCCUUGGAGGAUGGGAUGACACAGGAUGUCAAAUGAUGUCUAAUGAGAAGGGCAAGGUCAUCUGUCACUGUGACCAUCUGACCUCCUUCUCCAUUUUGAUGUCAACUUCCAUUCCGAAAGAGAUUCAAGAUGCUUUGGAUAUAAUCACUUAUGUUGGAGUUGGCAUAUCGAUGGGUAGCUUAGUCAUUUGUCUCAUCAUUGAGGCUUGUGUAUGGAAGGCCAUGACCAGAAACAACACCUCUUACAUGCGCCAUGUCUCCAUUGUGAACAUCGCUGUGUCACUCCUGAUUGCCGACAUUUGGUUCAUUAUUGGUGCAUCAAUAUCAAAAAAUACCCUUGAAAACCCAGGCGAAGACACCACAACACCUAUACCGGCAUGUACUGCAGCUACGUUUUUCAUUCACUUUUUCUACCUUGCUCUGUUCUUUUGGAUGCUGAUCUCAGGCCUUCUCCUUUUCUACCGGACCAUCUUGGUUUUCUCCCAUAUGUCAAAAUCAACUAUGCUGGCUAUUGGCUUCUCAGUAGGCUAUGGGGCACCUCUUAUCAUUGCUGUUGUUACUGUGGCAGCAACAGCUCCUAGUGGUGGAUACAUCAAGAAAAACCAGGCAUGUUGGCUCAACUGGGACCAGACAAAUGCUCUCCUUGCUUUUGUGAUCCCUGCCCUGACCAUAGUGGUCAUCAACUUUUGAUCCUGAUUGUGGUUCUGUACAAAAUGCUGAGGAGAGGGGUGGGGGAUGCUACCCAGCCAGAUGAGAGAAAUGCUGUUGUGGUCAUUGCCAGGUGUCUGGCAAUUCUGACUCCAUUCUUUGGCCUUACCUGGGGACUGGGAGUAGGAACCAUGGUUGAUCCAACAAAUAAGGGAAUCCAUGUUGUAUUUGCCCUCUUCAAUUCACUACAGGGUUUCUUUGUUUUGGUGUUUGGAACACUUUUAGACGGCAAGAUCCGGUCAGCUAUAGUAGGAACGUUCUCUUCCAUCCUCUCAGGCUCUGACCGUACGAGGAGUACCAGUGGUGGCGCGGCAACAUCAUCAACCAGUGCAUUAAACUUCAUCCGAAGAAGGAUAAGGAGGAAUGUCUACAAUGUUUCAGAAGUUGCAAAUUCUUCCAACAGCACUGGUGCUACAGAGUCUUUCAUCAACACCUAAAAGUACCCAAUGGUCAUACUUGAGUUAAAGUAUAGAUACCUUAAUAUGAAGUUACUCAAGUAAAAGUCACUCAGUGAAAAACAAUUUGAGUAAAUUGAUUUGUUUUUAAAUAUAUCAAAAGUAAAUGUAAUUGAUAAAAAAUACUUACGUAAGUAUCAAAAGUAAAAGUAUAAAUAAUUUAAAAUUCUUUCUUUUAAGCAAAGCAGAUGGCACCAUUUUAUUGUUUUUAAAAUGUAUGUUUAGCCAAGAAUUAUAGCCUUUGACCUGGACCUGCCAUAAAACAUGGCUUGGUCCAACACACAAUGAA